AGCCCAACCACCCAAACCCUAUCCCAUCCCACUCCAUUGUCGCCGCCCCAGAUGCAAUCUCGCCGCCACUCCAUCCUCUCCAGCUCGCGCACGCUCGCCGCCGCCGCGGCCGCACUCAGGGCAUAACGGACUUCCCCCGCCUGGAUCUCGCGUCACUGCUCUCCUCCGUUGCCUCCCGGACUUACCCUCGCUCUGGAUCCAGUCUACCAAGAGCCCAACCUCGCUGCCAAGUCCAUUGCCGCCGCCUACGUCCUAUGUUCCUACAGCAGGCGCCGCCACAUCGCCCCCCCUGCUCGACUUUUUUUGUGAGGGGUUCCCCCUGCUCGACUCUGUCGGCUCUCCUCCAGCACGUGACCCAGGGUCGCAUGGUGGGCUGCGCCAGCCUGCCGGCCGCAGGCCCCUCGCCGACAUGGGCCCGAGCCCCACAAGGUGAGGCAGCCGCCCCUCCUCGCCUGGCGAGGCAGCUGGAGAAGAAGUCGCGGGACCGGAGGCUGCCAUAGGACGAGAUCCUCUGCUGCUGCUGUGUCUGGUGGUUGAAGAAGGGGUGUGUUGGGAAGAGGAGGCAGUGUUGAGAGUGCUCGAUCUGUAACAGGACGAGCUUGGGCUGCAUCGGCUCUGGUUCUCAACCUCCAACAUGAGUCCCUUUCUUCCGUGCCUCGAACGCCAUGAGUCAUCAUGGGCACUGCAGAUGCGGAGGAGUUUUUCCGGGGCGAUCUGCUUGUUCCCGGCCGCGCUGGUGUCAACUACCUCGAGCCACUAUGACCAUCCCAACCAUGCUCACCCCCCUGGACGAAUUGUUUGUGGAUCUGCAAAGGGGGAUUCAAUUAAUUUUCAGUUGUAGAAAAGGGAGAAGGGGGAUUCAAUUAAUUUUCGUCCUCAAGAUCAAAGAAACAAAAUCUUUGUGGCGAUGAUAGAAGGGGUUCACGACUUCACGUUAAUACACAGACUAUUGGUAAGGGCAUUAAAACAUAUAUCUGGUGUGAAAUGGUGGCACAUGCUUGAUUAGAAUAUUUUCAAGUGUUGUAGGUGUACGGCUGUGGGGAAACAUUUUCAUGGUCUAAUUUUCUAAUUAAUGUAUGCACGAGACAUGAAUCUUGGAUUCUAAACUUUUUCCUCGAUGUUUGGGCUUCCUCUAACUUUUCGUAUAUUGCACACAACACACCACAUAAAUUCAUGUCUUCCAUGCUUGCUGUCUUGUAACAAACAGAUGUUGGGAUGGAUACUAAUUUUCUAAAUGAUUUGAACUCAUGUUGUUUUCUAUUCUACUUUCAUUGGUUCAUCAUUCUGAACCAUUCAAUUGUUGGAACUCCGGCAUAUAUUGGUCCUGAAGUUAUGCUGAAGAAAGAAUAUGACGCAAGCUACGAUCCAUCCUAUUUUGUGCUUUAAACGGUCUGCUGCAUACUCUGCCAUCUGCUGCAUAACUUAAUUCUGUUUGCUCGGCCAUAAAAGCCUUACUUGAUUUCUGAAUCUUCCAUUCACCUUUUGUUGUCAUGAGUGGUGAAUGGUCUUGAGGAGUAACCAUUUAGAUACUGUAUGUUUUUUUGCUCAAACACGAUCUCAACAUUGAUAAUAGCAAAGAGAUAAUAUACGCCUUAUAAUCUUGUAACUGUAUGUGCAGAAGUAGUUGUGGUGUUCCUUCCACCCUAUGAAUUAGUCUGUGAAGAGGUGAAUAGUCAGGAGCCCCAUGGAGCCAAACAAACAUUAUGUUCAGGCUACAGAUUAUAUUCAUACUACAACUUGAGUCUGAAUUUGUAUUGAUACACGAAAAUGUCAUGUGUGCCAAGAAAAGCAUGUUAGCUGUACAAUCAAUUUUGGUGUGCAUUUCUUAUUUAUUUUUGAGUCGGACGUGUGCAUUUCUAAUUAGAAGUAGAAGAAGAAAGAUGUGACACGGACUUCCUAAGAUCACAUACAUAUAGUUGAAUAGUAUAAUUAGAAUAAUAAUAAUAAAAUUCAAAAAACUUAUUUAUUUUGGCUACAAAUUUGCUGGAGUGUUAUAGAUGUGCAUACCAUUUCGUGAAGGAAUAACAUAAAUGGUGGUCGGGACAAACAAAAAUUGAUCAUUUUUAAAGCUUCUUGGAGCAUCGAUUUUGUUUAAUAUUGUGCAAAGCAUCACAAAUAUUUUUUUCUUCAUGAAAUUUUGCACAUAACCAAAAAAAUGUAAUUUUGUUGGGGAGCAGGAUUGCACAUCUGAUGUAAGAUAAAGAUAUAAGUACUGUUAGACAUGAGACCUACUCGCGCACAUGUCAAUCUCAACAUGCAUCUUGUUGUUCCGUGCAACGCACGGGCAUCUUACUAGUGUUAUCCUAAAAUUGGCUAACUGUGGCUCAUAUUGUUUUCCCCAGGUAGCUCAUGGCGAGUGAUGCGUGAGCCAUCUCGAUCCUUUUGCUCUGUUAUUAUAUUUUAGCCAUGAAGGAUUUACUGCUAGUCAGUUCGUAGUGGAUCCGGCUGUUUGCUGAACUUCUGUUCUUGCUUGUGCUAUUUUUUUUACUGUUUAGAUGGCUCAAUUUACUUCCAAUUUUACUCUUGAGUUUUCCCAUGCAUGCAUACUCUGUUAAUUUAUUCCGAGUGCCCAUAGUUCCCUCUCUAGCAGCACCACUUGUGCUCUUGUCUCACCCAUAACAACAAUUUACUAGUAGUAUGUCUCUUGGCAUGGGUGCUAGCUUAGGUCCCUUCUACUACUACUCCACUUAGUAACUUGUCUGUAUUCUAUUACUUUGUACCUAUGUGUGUGAGCUGUGUUAUAUUCAUCUUCCUCAAGUACUACAACACUGGUAGUUGUACACAUAUGAUGGUGAUUCGCUCCGGUCAUUCCAGUUUUGGCGGUGGUGGUGCUGCUGCUCCUAUGAUGGUAGGCUCGUCUGAUUCCCCUAGCCGCAUCCAUGGUGAUGAAGCUCGGCCUAGGCUAGAACCCCCUCCAAUUUGCUUAAGAUCACGGAAGCUUGGGUUGAUGGAGUGCUUGUAUUUAGUUUUUGUUUU